GAUGAACGCUGGCGGCGUGCUUAACACAUGCAAGUCGAACGGGAAACCUUUUAUUGAAGCUUCGGCAGAUUUAGCUGGUUUCUAGUGGCGGACGGGUGAGUAACGCGUGGGUAACCUGCCCUAUACAGGGGGAUAACAACCAGAAAUGGUUGCUAAUACCGCAUAAGCGCACAGGGCCGCAUGGUCCGGUGUGAAAAACUCCGGUGGUAUAGGAGGGACCCGCGUUGGAUUAGCCAGUUGGCAGGGUAACGGCCUACCAAAGCGACGAUCCAUAGCCGGCCCGAGAGGGUGAACGGCCACAUUGGGACUGAGACACGGCCCAGAAUCCUACGGGAGGCAGCAGUUGGGAAUAUUGGAAAAUGGGGGAAACCCUGAUGCAGCGACGCCGCGUGAAGGAAGAAGUAUCUCGGUAUGUAAACUUCUAUCAGCAGGGAAGAUAGUGACGGUACCUGACUAAGAAGCCCCGGCUAACUACGUG
rnacentral:rRNA from 1 species